UGCGUAGGCGGAAAAUUAAGUCAGUGGUGAAAUCCUGCAGCUCAACUGUAGAACUGCCAUUGAUACUGAUAUUCUUGAAUGUAGUUGAGGUAGGCGGAAUGUGUAAUGUAGCGGUGAAAUGCUUAGAUAUUACACAGAACACCGAUUGCGAAGGCAGCUUACUAAACUAUGAUUGACGCUGAUGCACGAAAGCGUGGGGAGCGAACAGGAUUAGAUACCCUGGUAGUCC
rnacentral:rRNA from 1 species